UGGGGAAUAUUGGACAAUGGGCGCAAGCCUGAUCCAGCAAUGCCGCGUGUGUGAAGAAGGCCUGCGGGUUGUAAAGCACUUUCAGUGGGGAAGAACGGGCCAGGGUUAAUACCCCGGCUCUGACGUACCCACAGAAGAAGCACCGGCUAACUCCGUGCCAGCAGCCGCGGUAAUACGGAGGGUGCAAGCGUUAAUCGGAAUCACUGGGCGUAAAGCGCACGUAGGCGGCACGUUAAGUCAGCUGUGAAAC
rnacentral:rRNA from 1 species